AUGCCCUCUGAAUUUGAGACUAGUGUUAAAGAAUUUAUGAAUUCGCAAAAGAAUUUCAAUGAUUUACUUGAAGAAAAAUUGCUUAAGGUUGAUGAAUUGGCUAGGAACGUUGAUAGAAUUUCUCUUGAUGUUGAUUCUUUGAAACUUAGAUCUAUUCCACCUAAGCAUGAUAUCAAUGAGUCUCUCAAAGCCAUGAGAAUUUCCAUUGAUGAGUGCAAAGAAAGAACCGCUAGGAUGCGUGCUAAGAAAGAUUGCUUUGUGAAAGCGUGUUCUUCUAGUUUCUAUGAAAACAAAGAUGAAGAUCUAAAAGUUAUUGAUGUGUCCCCUAUUAAAUCUUUGUUUUCCAAUAUGAAUCUUGAUAAUAAUGGGACUGAAUAUGAGCCACCUUUACCUAGAAGGCGUCCCAAAAAUUCGGAGUUUUUAGAUCUUGAUGCAAAAAUUGGUAAAAGUGGGAUUGAAGAGAUCAAAACUCUAUAUAUUAAUGAACCCACUAUUUUGGAUUUCAAGGAAUUUAAUUAUGAUAAUUGCUCUUUGAUAGAUUGUAUUUCCUUGUUGCAAUCUGUGCUAAAUUCUCCUCAUGCUUAUAGCCAAAAUAAAGCUUUUAUUAAACAUAUCGUUGAUGCUUUGAUGCAAUCUUAUGAAGAAAAACUUGAGUUGGAAAUUUCUAUCCCUAGAAAACUUUAUGAUGAGUGGGAACCUACUAUUAAAAUUAAAAUUAAAGAUCAUGAAUGCUAUGCUUUGUGUGAUUUGGGUGCUAGUGUUUCCACGAUUCCAAAAACUUUGUGUGAUUUGCUAGGAUUCCGUGAAUUUGAUGAUUGCUCUUUAAACUUACACCUUGCGGAUUCCACUAUUAAAAAACCUAUGGGAAGAAUUAAUUAUGUUCUUAUUGUUGCAAAUAUGAACUAUGUGCCCGUAGAUUUUAUUGUUCUUGAUAUAGACUGCAAUCCUUCAUGUCCUAUUAUUCUUGGUAGACCUUUCCUUAGAACGAUUGGUGCAAUCAUUUAUAUGAAGGAAGAGAAUAUUAGAUUCCAAUUUCCGUUAAGGAAAGGCAUGGAACACUUCAAUAGAAAGAAAAUAAAAUUACCUUAUGAAUUUUUUAUGAGAGCCACUUAUGGAUUUCCUACCAAAGAUGGCAAUACCUAG
rnacentral:rRNA from 1 species